AAAGUUGUCUUUCUGUUUUGGAAGUGAAUAUUUAUUUUUGUACAGUAUGUGCAGCGUGACUUAACUGAUUCAACAGUUCUGAGGAAUAUGGGUGAAGGUUUAGGACAUUCUCUUCUUGCGUACAGAAGUGCAUUACAGGGAAUAUCAAAGCUGCAGGUUAAUGAAGCUUCUUUGUUUGAAGACUUGAAUGAGUCAUGGGAGGUGCUUGCAGAACCAAUACAGACUGUAUGUUCCUUUCUUCUAGUUUACAUAUCAUAUUCAAUCUGAAUUUUUUUUGGCCCUCUCUACAGAUUUGAAGAAUUAAUAUUGUGACUGCUAAAGAAAAUCUUUUAACUGAAUGCCAUCAAUAGCUCAUAUUGAAUGCUAGUGACAGUGAUUGACUGAUUUUAUUUUAUCUUUCCUUCUCGACACUUGUUUGAAUGAAAUAAACCAUUCUAUGAUUUUACUUCAUAGGUUGAUAUUCAU